UAAAGAGGUGAGAGGGCUGGAGAUCCAGAAGGGAAGUGGGGGAUAGUGCAGGGCUGUUAAAAAGACAACAGGGGUUUACACCCAUCACACAGGAGCAACGACCCAGGAAUGUGCCGUGUUUGCUGUUGGUGUUAAAGGGUACCCUGGAUAUCCGUCCUGGGACUGCGACCCUGCUCACGACCUGAAGCUCGGGUUUCAUUGUGUGAUCUGAAAAAGAAGACGAAGAGGGAGGAGGAGGGGAAAGAGUCUGCCAUCCUUGAGGGAAAGGUCAAAAGUCAAACUGGAACAACCUGCUGGACCCUCACCAGUCUGGCUUCAGACCUGGCCACUCAACGGAGACCACACCCCUCUCCGUUAGUGAAUCACUUCAUGCCGCACGAGCAGCCACCUUUUCCUCUGUCCUGAUUCUUCUAGACCUCUCUGCUGCAUUUGACACUAUGGAACAUCCUCUUGUCCUCCCUGUCAGCAACAGGGAUCUGUAGCACAGCCCUGAACUGGAUCAAGUCCUACAUCUCUGGUCGCUCCUUCCAGGUUUCCUGGGCUGGUACAGUAUUGACACCUCAGCCCCUUGCCACAGGAGUUCCCCAGGUUCAUGAUAGCAGGCAGUGUUCAUUCUAUAAUGUUGUCAACUUAUGAGGGUAAAAGGCCAGGGGCUUGGACCCUAACUGUGCAUGUGCCUGCAAAUCAUAGCUGACCGUCUGCACUGUAACAUCAUAUUCAUUGUUUAAUUUCAAACGCAGGGGUACAGAGGCAAAAAGCACUGUGCCCUAAAUUAAAAGUGCACCCCCUCCCCCAAUCAGAGCAGUCCUAGUACUACUAAAGCGAAUAUCCAGUAUAAUUAAUGCAGGUGCUAUAAGAACAACAUCAGCGGGCUUAACCGUUUAAAAUUAGACAGCACCAGUGCCGAUCUGAACAAGGUGAUGGUUCCUGUACAAUGUUGCACUUGCACCGAAACAUCCUGAAUACAUUGCACAGUGAAUUAAAGAGUGUUCGUAAAAACAGUUAAUUUGACUAAUUAGUUAAUAAUAAUAAAAUUACAGGGCAUACGAUUAUUAUUUGUGUUCAUUGUAUGCAGCAUUUUUAUAAAGGUUGCCUAUAAUUCUGGAGCUGACUGUAUGCUUUAUAGAAAAAACACAUUGUUUUGUAAAUGUUUUACUGUUGUCAUUUCUGAGGCUGUUCUGUAAAUAGUUGGUUUGCUGGGUUGUUGCUCAACUGUGCCCGUUCUAGCCUAUAACUUUCACACCAUGACUUUCAUAUGGAUUGACUUCUUUUUUUUACCAUGUUUUUGCCGUUCUGCUGACUUUCCACUGAAUUUGCAUUGUACCUUUCUGCAAUAUUAAACUUCCCGACAAUUGCAAAAAAUUCAACUGAUUCUAAUUUUGAAUAGCAAUGCCCCUGGUUGGACUAUGGAAAUGACUGUUGAUUCUGAAAGGACUGAUCCAGAGAGGAAGAGCGAGAUGCCGCACUCUGGGUCUGAAACGUUUGCACUGGUACUGGUACUACAUAUUUUGGUGCUCACAGAAUAAAUGGAGGUCAAUGAGGUUUUUCCAAAACAGUUCGCUAAAUGGGUAAUUUCUAGAAAGACUAAAUAAAAAAGUAU